GAAGCAAAUUCAUAAUAUUUUCUCUUUCUCCAAUUCCCAACUCUGUCUUCUUCUCACCUUCCCCCUCUGGCCCCUUCCUGUCCUUUCCCCUCUCUCAGAUGACAAACAAUUUCAUACAGAUUCUAUUUACAUAAGUACCCCAAAUUAGGUACUACAAAGAGUAGUUAUAAUGAGCAGAAGGAUUAAGAGAAUUAGAAGUCCACUCUCAGUCCUUAGCAGGAGCCCGGCACUCUCCUAAGCUCUUCCCCAUCUCAUUUGAUCCUCUCAAGAAGUGAGAAACGAGUGCCGAUAGUGUCCCCCCUUACAACAUGCAGUCACAUUGUCAGUGCUUAUGGGCAGCGCUUUAAGCGUCUCCUGAGGAAUGGCAGGACACUAAAAUUCUAUUCAAUAAACAGUGUUCGACGCCGCCUGCCAUCGGCAAGCCCACAGCAUGGAGGAUGAAGAACUCGCCUUGGAGUGAGGAGGAUUCCCACCUCUGACACACGAUUCUGCAUGGACGUGGACAAGCCACUUAACCUUUCGGGAGCUCAAGUAAUACUCUAAGACUAGGAGCUGCAGAGAAGGUGCAGGUCCCACCUCGUAGGAGGCGCGACUCCCUUAGAAGCCCCCCUUCUAAUAAAGAAUCGUGCCCAUGGCAACGAAACCACAAUGGUUGUGCCACGCUAGCUAGUCAUCGUCGAGUUCCUGGGAACAACCGAUGGUCUUGAUAUGGUUCCACUUUUAUAACAGCACGAGUGUUUGCUUCUACUGAAACGAGACCGGCUAGUCUGACGUGGAACAGGUCAGAGCAGACUUAGCUGGCUUUCCAGGUUUAGGCCAUUCGCUGUUCCUCGAGAGCUGAAUUUCUCACUGAGAGACCACCAGAGUUCCACAGAGGCAACUUCUUUCUUCCCACCUACAUCAGGAUUGAAGAGCUGCUACUGUUUUGGAGAAGGAAGAAAAAUCACGGGCAAAAUAAUGACGUAAUACCAGUCCGCAGGGUUUGGAAACUGCCGUUUUCAACAGUGAAACUUCGUUUUUUAAUGUAUGGCUUUGUUAAAAUCACUGGCGGAAGUACAGUGAAGUGGAGAAUCACAAUGGGAAGGCAUCAGCCUCGUGAGCCACAUUUUAAGCCACUCUCAAGGAAGAAUGCCAGUCGGUGUUAUUAAAGUCAAUGAACAGGGAUGUUCUGGCUGCAAGAGGGAGGAAGG
rnacentral:lncRNA from 1 species